rnacentral:rRNA from 1 species
AACGAACGCUGGCGGCGUGCUUAACACAUGCAAGUCGAACGCGAAAGGGACUUCGGUCCUGAGUAAAGUGGCGCACGGGUGAGUAACGCGUGGAUAAUCUGCCCAAUGGACUGGGAUAACAUCUCGAAAGGGGUGCUAAUACCGGAUAAGACCACGGGAUCUUUGGAUUCUGCGGUAAAAGGUGGGGACCUUCGGGCCUACCGUCAUUGGAUGAGUCCGCGUACCAUUAGCUAGUUGGUAGGGUAAUGGCCUACCAAGGCUACGAUGGUUAGCUGGUCUGAGAGGAUGAUCAGCCACACUGGAACUGAGACACGGUCCAGACUCCUACGGGAGGCAGCAGUGGGGAAUUUUGCGCAAUGGGGGAAACCCUGACGCAGCAACGCCGCGUGAGUGAUGAAGGCCUUCGGGUCGUAAAGCUCUGUCAGAGGGGAAGAAGUGCAGUGGUGCUAAUAUCGCCAUUGUUUGACGGUACCCCUAAAGGAAGCACCGGCUAACUCCGUGCCAGCCGCCGCCGUAACAC